rnacentral:rRNA from 1 species
AGGAUAACUUCCAUCUUGAUAGUUAUUGGGGGAUUUCAUACGAUAUCCGCGAUC